CGCAGGAAAAAAUCUUAAUAGUUUAAUAUAACGCUGCACUCUAACCCUAACCCUCUCUAAACCUUCAUUCUUCAUAAAUUCAUUCUGUUUUUUAAAAGAUCUACGUAGAUUACAAUAAGGGACACGGUUGUGUUUCUAAGGAACCGUUUUGAAUUGCGCGCGCUUUUUUGAACUGCUGUCCGCGCGCGUAAUUAACAGUCAGACCUGUGAGAGACGGAGGAGAUGGAGAACUUGCAGAGUGUGCUGCUGCAACUGGAUUAUCUUAAUUCCACACAACUACUCUUUAUUCUGCUUGCUGUGGCUGCUCUUCUGCUGCCUAGAACCUUCAUUUGGAUGCUACACUGAAGACAGAACAUGUGGUCAGUUCCUAAAAGAGCACUGCAUAGCAUAGGAGGCCAGUUACUGUUGACCCCAAAGAGAUUUCUACUGAUACAUUGACAAGAUGGCGGAGUCUGACAGAUUGUUAUUAAGAGUCUUCAUAGCCACAGAUAUUGCUCACAAGAUGUUGCUUCCAACACGCCCCACAUCAGUGCAAGAGCUAAUCACCAUAAUGCGAGAGAAAUUUAAACCUCAUCUUGAUUUUGACUUCAACUUACAAUAUGAAGACCCUGACUUUGGAGGACAGCUCUGCGUUCUUUCAGACAUUACAGAACUGCCACAAAAGGCUGUAGUGAAGGCUUUCGGAUCAGAGAGUGUUACUAGCUCAACUGGAACUUCAGGCACAGAAUUACUGCCCCAUGCCCUGGCACGUGUGCAGACCUGGCCUGAUGUAUUUCCUAUACCUCUCUUUUCCUAUGAUGUUGAGUACGUCCUUGAAGCUGGCAAUACAGCAUAUCAGAAUACUGGGAAGACUUUGAAAUUAACAAGAGCACAAAAGCAUGACAUCUUGGAAAAUAUGGACAAAACUAUGCACACUUUCAAGGCGUACCCUAGUGAUAAACAAAUGGCUAAAGCUGCAGAAGCUCUUGUUACCAAGCACCCCUGCCUUACAGAGCCAGGAAGUCACUGUGGCUGGUAUGGCUAGAAAACAAGUUUAAAAUUCAAGAUGGGUAACUACCGGACCAAGCUGAGCAGAUCUGGAUGUGAUGAGGUGGCUGUAAACUCAGGGAAGAGGAGCCGAAGUAACCCAGAGAGAGAGUCACCCCACUGCAACAUCAAAAGAGCUCGUAGAGCUGAGGUGAACUAUCUACCAAAUUUCCCAAGAAGAGAGGACGCCUUGAGCCUGGAAUGACUAAGAGUGCAAAUAGCUGAUGAAAUAUCAAAGACAGACAGAAAUCUACAGAGGAUAGAGAGAUUAAUGCAAACUACAUAUGCAUUGCGUCGUAAGCAGUUCAUUGUCGACAACCCAUCACAACCAGUCAAGGAUUUUCUACAGAAUUGGCCUGCCCUUCGACUGGAGUCACAGAUUUGUGCAGAAUUCCACAGGAUCACAAAUAUGAACUCGCAAAGCAAGUUCUAUGCAGAGCUAGACAAGCAUUCACCACGACUGUUGGCUGUCUUUAGGCAGAAGGCUGCACGUACUGGCAAGGCGGCUGAGGCUAUGAGGAGCAUCUUUACUGCCUUUGACGUACUGGAGCAAUGUGAUGUUAACCACCGACAUACUGCUGCACUUCGAGUCCUCCCAGUGUAUCUUCGUGAAGAUGACUCUAGGUUUUUGUAGGACUUGGAAUCCAGAACAAGAGGAUAAGCCGGACAUCGCAGACCUGGCAGUAGCUCCUUUAAGCGUGGUAAAUGAAGACCCAAGUUCCCUUGUUCAGUUCAGUCCUGUCAGGAUUGCCAUUGUGCUGGAAGGUGACAUUGUUCUGAAUGAGGGGCCUAAUUUGGCUGAUGCUUUCCUCAUGAUGUUUGGUUUAAUGUAUGCACUACACCUUGACUAUCCAAAAGAACUGACCCACACAUUCAACUUCAUCCAGAAAGUCCUCAUGGGCUUAGAUGACUUCAAACCACUAUCACCCAGGUUACUGAAUCUAAAAAAUGAUCUGCUGGUGAAGGUGUAAAUUGGCAAGCAGUAUGCUGCUUCUAGAUGGGACUGGUUGCAUUUUUAUUUUUUCCUCUCCCUUUCCUACCCCUCCAAUGUUUACUCAGCUAAUGUUUGGUUUUUGCAUUUAUGGGAAGUUAGUUACCUAAAGUAUUAAUGUGAAUGGAUUGUGGGUAGGUACUGUGCCAUGAUCCAGAUUCUAACAAUGGGGAAUUUGAUUAUUUUCAUCUGUCAGAGUUCAUUCUCUUUUAUUCAGUGAAUCUAUAUGAUGACAUUAGAAAUGAUAAAUUCAAAGUAACAAUACUGAAGUUAACUUUUUGUAGCAGUUACAUUCAGGCAACUUCAGCUUCCUAAAGUAUGGAUCGGUGGAAGUAAAUAUUCAGUUAAUUAAAUCAUAAAAUCAUAAAUAAUUUAAAUUUGUUAAAUAAACUUCAAAAGAAAAAGGUAUGGUUCUGUAAAAAAGUAUUAUACUCCCCCUCACAACCAGCUCCUGCCUAUUUUGUUGAC